rnacentral:lncRNA from 1 species
AUAAAUCGAGCUCCACUUCGCCGUGUGGGAGAUCCGAAGGAGGUGUCAUCUUUGGUGGCAUUCCUCUGUCUACCAGCAUCAUCUUACAUUACUGGACAGACUAUUUGUGUCGAUGGUGGCGUGACUGUUAAUGGUUUUGAGCCAAACCUGUUAUAGGAACAUCAUUAAGACUCAAAAAUCUUAGCUUCCUCUACCGCUUUCCUGUUUGGAUCCUGUCUUUUUCCUGAAUAAUCUGUUUGUGAUGGUAAGUACUCUUCUGUUUUUUCGGUGUGGGGUUCAUCUGAAAACAUUGUUGCAUGAUGCUUAUAAUAAUCGUUGGAAAGUUUGUAAGAAGUUACUUAUCAUUGGAUGAGAUUCUUGUGAUGAGUGUUUCCUAUAAUCAGAUUUAUCUUGUUAUAAGGUUGUUGUUGUAGUAGUAACUGCAAUUCAAAGGAAAUUAAUUUAGUAUAAUACUGUAGGUUGUUGUCUAGUGUCUACUACCUCAGCUUCUCAUCCCACCCAACUCUCCCUCUUUAACUACCUAAUAUGAAAUUAAAAUAUGAAUUUAACAACCUGUCCGUCUUGUCCACCGUUUCUUUGGCUCUUCAGUCUUCAGACUUCGGCCUUUUAAAGCAGGACCUAAAAGGUUUGGGCCCAAAUGUUGGAAAAACUUAACACAGGCUGCAAUUUUGGGCCCCAAAACUCUUUCCAACUGGGCCUGAACACUUUUAGGCCCAAGAUGCUUUAGAUUUUGGACUCGCAGACCAUGUAUAUGCCCUCAACACCACCAUGCUUUACUUCAUCCCUUCCUUUCAAAUUAAAAGGAAAUUCAAAUUUCAUGAUGUUACAACUUGCUCAUUGAUGUACAUUCCCAUUCACAAAAAAUAAAAUAUUAAAUGCACUUAUCCAAAAUAUCUUCAUACCUACCUAUUUUUAUUUUUAAAAUAAAAUUUAAACGUUGAAUAACAAAAAUACCAUUUUUGUCAUCCUUACCCUUCACCCUUCCGAAACCCUAAUCUAAUCUUCCCUUUCUCUCUUCUUUCAUUUUCCAUCUUCUUAAAUGGGAAAAUAACGAUCAUCAGAGCCCACCGUGACUUGUGACAGGUUCGAUCCCUUAACAAUGACGAGGCCAUUAUGGAUAAUAUAAGGAUAAGCAUUACAAUAUUUCACUCCUUCACGUGCAUCUCCCUUCACACAAAGAUGCUUCCUUCACUCAUUUUAUAUUAAUAAUAUGAUAAAUUAUACAAAAAAAAAACAAUUUUUUUUUUAUCAAAAUUGUUUUCAACAAUAUUUCAAAUAUAUAUAUAUAUAUAUAUAUAUAUAUAAAUUUGGAAAACUUGUAUUUUGGAGCUGCUAUUUAGAAAUUAUAUAGUUUUCGGAACCCAAAAAUGAGAAAUAUGAUAAUCAAAUUUUAAUAUGAAAAGUAUUAUCGUUUUUGUGCACUUUGAGUAGACUUCAUCUUUUGUGCCCAAAUGGCCCCUCCAUGUCUCCAGCUCAGCAUUCUUAGCAUCAUCCCAACCUUUGUGUCAGUAGAACCAUUGAAAUUAAGAAAAAAAAAAACACAAAAAUCUAAAUUUGUAACUUCUCAAAAAAAAAAAAAAAAAAACCCAAUCUGCAAGUUUUCAAUUUGCUCAUUUGGAAAACAUUUUUUUUUAUAAAUAUCAAUAUUAUUUUUAAAAAAUGGUGACUUUUAGCUUUUAAUUAAAACUAAGAACAAGAAGUUAUUCCAAAUAUGACUUAUGUAUUUAUUCAGUGAAAGUAAUUUUUUCAUUUAAAAAAAGUAAUUUCUUGGUGAUAAAAAGAAAUAUUUUUUUAGUAGCUUUUCGAUGCUAUAAAAAAAGUGUUGGCUAAGUUUGUAUGAUAAAAUUGGUGUUAUUUAUAUACCAGCACUUUCGCUAGGGUCUUAUUUAUUGGGAAAACUGAUUAAUAAACUAAUCUUCUGUUUUGUUUUCAGUUCAAAGAGUGGUAGAGUAGAGGAGGAGGCAUGGCUCAGACAUUUGGGUGCAGCUCUGGAGAUAGUAGAUGGUCUCUCAAGGGAAUGACUGCUCUUGUAACUGGUGGAACUAAAGGAAUUGGGUUGGUGUUACCUGUUUUUAUGUCUUUGGGUUUGGACUAUACCUUCCUAUAUAUAAACGUAUGUAUCAAUUCUGCAGGCAUGCAAUUGUGGAGGAACUGGCUGGAUUAGGAGCAACCAUACACACGUGUUCUCGAAAAGAAACCGAGCUCAAUGAAUGCUUGAAGGAUUGGAAAGCUAAAGGUUUUGGAGUGAGUGGUUCAGUGUGUGAUGUAUCCUCUCGGGCCCAAAGGGAGAAGCUAAUGGAGACUGUCUCUUCUGUGUUCAAAGGGAAGCUGAAUAUCCUUGUAAGUUCCUCUAGUCUCUAAGGUUCCGAUCCAUGAUAUUCCACAUACUUUGUCGAACUUCCAACAAUUUGAGUUCCCCUACUUGAUAUAUAUAUUUUGGUUCCGGAUUCAGGUCAACAACGCUGCUAUUGUUAUUCAGAAACCAACAGUAGAGGUCACGGCAGAAGAGUUCUCAACAAUCAUGGCCAUAAAUUUUGAAUCUGUGUAUCAUCUGUCCCAACUCGCACACCCCCUUUUAAAGGCAUCAGGAGCGGGAAGCAUUGUAUUCAUCUCCUCUGUUGCCGGCGUAGUGUCAAUCAAGUAUCUGUCUGCUUAUUCAGUAACCAAAGGUAUUUCAUUACAUGAUCCACAUUAUAUAUAUAUAUAUAUAUUGCAAGUUCUUGGGUUGUGGCCCUUGUGGCCUUCUCGGCGUGUCAUUAUCAUUAUCAUAUUGUGAUUUUUCAGGAGCAAUGAAUCAGCUUACAAAGAAUUUGGCAUGCGAGUGGGCGGAAGACAAUAUUAGAAGUAAUGCAGUUGCUCCUUGGUACAUCAAAACUCCGAUGGUGGAUCAGGUAAUUCAGUUGCUCUUCUGUUUUGUCUGGGAAAAUUCAAUAAUCAAUUCCUCUCUCUUUUCUGUCUUUUGCAUAAUCUGGGUUGCAGAUGUUCAGUAACAAAACCUUUCUGGAAGAGGUGAUAAAUCGAGCUCCACUUCGCCGUGUGGGAGAUCCGAAGGAGGUGUCAUCUUUGGUGGCAUUCCUCUGUCUACCAGCAUCGUCUUACAUUACUGGACAGACUAUUUGUGUCGAUGGUGGCGUGACUGUUAAUGGUUUUGAGCCAAACCUGUUCUAGGAACAUCAUUAAGACUCUCAAAAAUCUUAGCUUCCUCUACCGCUUUCCUGUUUGGAUCCUGUCUUUUUCCUGAAUAAUCUGUUUGUGGUGGUAAGUACUCUUCUGUUUUUUCGGUGUGGGGUUCAUUUGAAAACAUUGUUGCAUGAUGCUUAUAAUAAUCGUUGGAAAGUUUGUAAGAAGUUACUUAUCAUUGGAUGAGAUUCUUGUGAUGGGUGUUUCCUAUAAUCAGAUUUAUCUUGUUAUUGUAGUAAUAGGAUUGAAAGAAAAAUGCAAAUAAUCAUAAAAGGAUGAUGAAAAUCGGGAAGAGUUCAUCAUUUUUACUUAUUCAAAUAUUACACCAUCUCUUAUUUACAAUAAAUUUCAAAGAGUGUAAGUGAAACCAACCUUAAAUUAAUUUUGUUUGAUAAAUUUAGAUGAAAUUCAACAAGUGUGAAUCUUUAAUUUUUUUUCAUUUCAAUUAAUUUGGUAUCUAUUAUGAGGUUGCCCAUCAAGCUAAAAAUGACCAAAUAUGAUAUAAGCAUGAAGUCUUUGUUAUAUCUCGGAGAUUAAGAAUUGAUUCCAAUACUUUAUAACUUCCUCUUUUUACUUUAUAUAUCCAUGAAUUUAAGAUAGGUCCCUCACAUGUUUAGCUUCUCCCCUUGACGUACGUAGUGUCAUAUGGACAAUAAUUAAUGCUUGUUCAGCUAAGGUCAAAUAUAUGAAAACAAAUAAGAUUCAUUCACGUAAAACAUACAUGUAGCAAAGAGACGAAGGAAAGUGGGUUCUGUGAUCUAUCACACAUCAUGGAAAAAGCUGUGGUACCAUGGCUUUUCCAGGACUUUUCCUUGCAUAAUGGUACUGACAACAGUAUGCUAUUCUGUUGUUACUCUUAAGAUAUUUUAAUAUAAAGUAGCGCGUAUGUACUAUAUACAAUUCAGUGACGCCAUCUAACACGUUAGCCAAUAAGGUUACAAAUUUUAAUUUUAUAUUAAUAAUAUGAUUUGGGUAUGCUCCAUAUUUUAAAAUAUAAUUGAAUCAUAAAUAUCUAGAACUAGAAAUCCUUUUGAGGGACCAAUAACAUAAAUCAUUAAAAUUUUAUAAUUUGAUAUUAUAAAUUCCUAAUUAAAUUUUAAAAUAUAUUAAAUUUAUUUGAUAUAAAUAUAUAUAAAAAUAAAGAAAAAAAUUAAUAUUUUCAUAUGAUAAAUUAUACAAAAAAAAACAAAUAUAUUUUUUUUUAUCAAAGUUGUUUUCAACAAUAUUUCAAAAAUAUAUAUAUAAAUUUGGGAAACUUGUAUUUUGGAGCUGCUAUUUAGAAAUGAUAUGGUUUUCAGAACCCAAAAAUGGGAAAUAUGAUAAUCAAUUUUUAAUAUGAAAAGUAUUAUCGUUUUUGUGCAUUCUGAGUCGGCUUCAUCUUUUGUGCCCAAAUUGCCCCUCCAUGUCUCCAGCUCAGCAUUCUCAACAUCAUCCCAACCUCCAUGUCAGUAGGACCAUUGAAAUUAAGAAAAAAAAAAACACUAAAAUCUAAAUUUGUAACUUCUCAAAAAAAAAAAAACCCAAUAUGCAAGUUUUCAAUUUGCUCAUUUGGAAGCUUUUUCUCAUCUUUUUCUCUCAUUUUAGUUUAGAAACUCAAAUCCAAAACUCUAAAUGUGAUAUGUUGUGGAAUUGUUUUCAUAGUCCUUAACAAGAUGCAUGCGGCAUGUACUGAACUUUAACCUAAUUCCUUCUACCAAUUUUUCUGGCCCCAAGUUACUAGGGACUAUGGCUCCGAUUGGGUGGUUUUUGAGUAGUCAAAAACCAUUUUUAAAGCUUAGUAAAAAAUUUUAUGCCCCUCAUUUUAUUUAAACAAUUUAUAACUUAAAAAAAUAAGAAAAUAAAAAAAAAUGUUUUUUUAAGCUUUAUUUUGACUUAUUCAAAAAGUUUUUUUAUUUUUUUUAUUUUUAUGUUUAAUACAUUUUUUAUAAUUUCAAUAUUAUUUUUAAAAAAUAGUGACUUUUAGCUUUUAAUUAAAACUAAGAACAAGAAGUUAUUCCAAAUAUGACUUAUGUAUUCAUUCAAUGAAAGUAACUUUUUCAUUUAAAAAAAGUAAUUUCUUGGUGAUAAAAAGAAAUAUUUUUUUAGUAGCUUUUUGAUGCUAUAAAAAAAGUGUUGGCUAAGUUUGUAUGAUAAAAUUGGUGUUAUUUAUAUACCUGCACUUUUGCUAGGGUCUUAUUUAUAGGGAAACUUGUGUUUAAUAUGCUCAAUUCUAUUUCUUUGUAUGGCUAUGCAAUUGUUCAGAUUUGGCAACACUAAUCAAUAAAUGUACGUUAUAUUUGAAACAUUGGAAUAAAAAAAAGAAUAAGAGUUAAUUUUAUUUUCAAUUUAUUACUAUAUUUGAAUUAUUUUUUACAAUGAUAAUAGAAUUAAAAAGAAAAUCACUUAGUAACCCUUAGGUACUACCUUAAUAUACCUUAAAUAACCUUAAUCGAUCUUAGAUAUUAUCUUAGUUACACUUGGGUACUACCUAUGUGAAGCCUCAAAACUUCAUUUGUAGACAUUACUUCAUGUGUGAACAUUAGAGAUGACAUUAUGUGCACCUUUAAUAAGUGUUACUAAGGUAGUACCUAAGGUACAAUCAACACUAUAUCAAAGGUGCACAUAAUGUCAUGCUCUAAUGUUCACAAAUAAAGUAAGUAAUGUUUACAAAUGAAGUUUCCAGGCUUCACACAGGUAGUAUCCAAGUCUAAUUAAGUAGUACCUAAGGUCGGUAAGGUAGAUUAAGGUAAUACCUAAGGGUUACUAAGGUAGUACCUAAGGUACAAUCACCACUAUAUCAAAGGGGCACAUAAUGUCAUGCUCUAAUGUUCACAAAUAAAGUAAGUAAUGUCCAUAAAUAAAGUUUCGAGGCUUCACACAGGUGGUACCCAAGUUUAACUGAGAUAAUACCUACAAUUAGUUAAAAUUAGUACCUACAAUCAGUUAAGAUAGUACUUAAGAUAAAUUAAUGUAGUACCUAAAGGUUACUAAGGUAGUACCUAAAGGUUACUAAGGUAGUACCUAAGGUACAGUAAAUACUAAAGAACAAUAAAUAAAAAUUAAUUACCUUCGUAUUUCGAGUAGGGGUUAGGGAAAAAUGUGACAGAAUGACAGGAAGACGAGACAUUUUUUUUUAGGAAACCAAUAUUUUGGAUUUCACCUUUUCGUCCAAGUACGCUUUGCUAUAGAAAAAUCAAUAUCAUAGUUGCGCCUAUUGAAACCAUCUUUUAACUGGACGUUCUUAGGAUGGAGUGCUCCAUUUGGUUGUUGAGAAUUUAGACAAGAAAGAAAAAUGCAGGUUGGAGUUUUGGAUUAAGGGUUUCUUUUCUCAAAUUGAAGAAAUUUUAGGAAAUUUUAAAUGGGUUUUAGGAUCGUCUGGGUGAUAAAGCCAAGAGAAAUAGAGAAAGAAAUGUUUCCAACCUUUAAGAGGAAAAAGUUUCAGAUUUGGGAAAUUUGAGAUGGUUCCCGGGUCAAGUGUUUUUUUGUGUUUUAGAUUUGAGAAGUUUCAAAUUCUUGGAGAAGAUAUAAAUAUGUAGAUUUGAAUUUUAAGGGUUUCUUUUUUGAAAUGAGAGAAAUUUUGGAAAAUUUUAUAGGUGUCUUUCUAAUUCGGCUAGGUAAGGAAGUGAAGAGAGUUGAGAGAAAAUGUUCCCAAAUGAGAGAGAUGGAAAGUUUUUGAUUUGGGAAAUUAGAGGUGUUGUCAGGAUGGGUGUUUAUGAGAACUUUCAAAUUCUAAUUUUUGUGUUUUGUUUAAUUUCAGAAGGUCUUGUUGACAUGAAAAGCUGACUUACUGCUGACAUGGAGACAUUGAGGGACAAUCUGGGAAUAGAAAAUGUAAACAUGACAUAGUGCAUGAGAACGAUAAUAUUUUCUCCAAUAACAGGGAAAUAUCAUAUUUCAUAUACUUGGGGUUCGAAAAGCAUAUAAUUUUCAAAUCACAGACUGAAAACACAAGUUUCCCAUAAAUAUACUUAAAGCAUGUUUGAUAACAAUUUUGAAAAAUAAUUUUCGAAAAUAGUUAUUUAAAAUUGUUUUUUGAUGUUUACAACAUAAAAAAAAAAAAAAAACAUGUUUGACAACCUAAAAUAAUUUUUAUAUCUAAUAUUUUAUUUUUAAUAAUUCGAUAUAUUUGUAUAAUUAUUUUUAAAAAUAGCUGUAAAAAAUAAGUGAAAACAAGUAAAGAUGUUAUCCGAAAACAUUAUAUUUUUUAUUUUUAAAAACAAAAAAUAGUUUUUCUUAUUCUCAAACAAGUUUUCCUGUUUUUUACGAAGAAAAAAUUAUUGUCAAACAAUCCCUUAUAUACUUGUGUUUUAUCAAGUGGUGAAAUAUCUUUGUAUGAAUUAUAUAGCAACUCAUAAGAGUAAGAGAAAAAGAGACAAUUUUAAAAGUGCAUAUGACAAGUGGAAAUUAUUAGAAAAGAGGCAAUUUUAAGAAUGGAUUUGAUAUGUGUCACAAAGACCACUAAAAUUUGGUGUGAAUAUAUAAAUAAGUUUUAAAUUUUGUUGAUUAACAUAUCUAUAAAUUUUUUUAUUUAUAAAAUUUAAUUUUUAGAGAAAUUUUAGAUAAAAAGAUUUUAGAUCUAUUCAAUCAAAAAUUGAAAGAGUAACUUAAUGUAUUUACUCUAAGCCUCAUGGUGUGUGAAUUAAACCAACCUUCAAAGAAAAAUAGAAAAAAAAAAAAGUGAAUCAUAAUAAAAAGGAAAGUAGUCAAAAUCAAAAGGAGAAUCAAAUUUGAUUUCCAUAUUAGUGAUUUUUUAAAAAAAAUUCUAUUAUCAUUGUAAAAAAUAAUUCAAAUACAUUAAUAAAUUGAAAAUAAACUUAACUCUUAUUCUCAUUUCUUAUUCCAAUGUUUCAAAUAUAACGUCCAUUUAUUGAUUAGUGUUGCCAAAUCCGAACAAUUGCAUAGCAAUACAAAGAAAUGGAAUUGAGCAUAUAAAACACUUUUUUUUUAUAGUAUCAAAAAGCUACUGAAAAAAAUAUUUCUUAUCUCCAAGAAAUUACUUUUUUAAAAUGAAAAAAUUACUUUCAUUGAAUGAAUACAUAAGCCGUAUUUGGAAUAACUUCUUAUUCUUAAUUUUAAUUAAAAGCAAAAAGUCACAAUUUUUUAAAAAUAAUAUUGAUAUUAUAAAAAAUGUAUUAAACAUAAAAAAACCUUUUUGAAUAAAUCAAAAUAAAGCUUUAAAAAAAACAUUUUCUUGAUUUUCAUAUUAAGUUAUUUUUUAAGUUAUAAAUUAUUUAAAUAAAAUGAGCAGCAUAAAAAAUCUUAUAGAGCUUUAAAAAUGGUUUUUGACUACUCAAAUCCACCCAAUCGGAACCAUCAUCCCGGUAACUUGGGGCCAGAAAAAUUGGCAAAAGGAAUGAGGUUAAAGUUCAGUACGUGUUGCAUGCAUCUUAUUAAAGACCAUAAAAGCAAUUCCAUAAUAUAUCACAUUUGGAGUUUUGGAUUUGGGUUUUUAAACUAAAAUGAGAGAAAUUUUGGGUUGUCGAAAGCGAAGAAAGAUGAGAGAAAACUUUCAAAUAAGUAAAUUGAAAACUUACAGAUUGUGUGUGUGUGUUUUUUUUUUUUUUUUUUAAAAAAAGUUAUAGAUUAAGAUUUUAAUAUUUUUUUUUUCUUAAUUUCAGUGGUUUGAUUGAUAUAGAGGUUGAAAUGAUGUUGAGGAUGCUAAGCUGGAGACAUGAAUGGGCAACUUGGGCAUGAAAGAUGGAGCCAGCUCAGAGGCAUAAAAACGAUAAUACUUUUUAUAUUAAAAAUUGAUUUUCAUAUUAAAUUUUAUACAUCUAUUUUAAAACAAUUAAAAUUUUAUUCAAUUUUCAAUUAUAAUAUAUGCACUGCCUCUCGCGGGUCGAUACUGCUGACGAGUGCAUGAAAUUAUUAUAAAUAUCUCAUGGAAUGAGGACAGAUUAAAGAAGAGGAGAGAGAGAGAGAGAGAGGGAGAAGAAGAAGACAACCAAAAAAGAAAAGGAAGACAGCAUUGUAAACAUAGAAAAUGGAAAGUAUUGGAAAUAUUUCAUGAAAUCGGAGUAAACAACAAAACAAAAUAAAAUACUUUUAAUCCCUGUUUCCUACUUCUGUCAUAAAGUAUGGAUAGAGAUGAGACGAAGGAGGAGAAGGAGGAGAAGGAGGAGCACUCAGCUUUCACCGAUACUGCAGUGUGUUGUGGUGGUGUAGCAUAUGGUAGGAUGUCAUUCUUGCUCCAAAAGUGUGGGCAGAUCCAUUUUUAUUUUCCUUUUUUCAUCUCUGUCCUCACUGAUUCGUUUUGGGUAUCCAUCAAUAUUUAUCAGUGGGCUUGGUGUUAGUCAAAAGCCACCAAUUUUUCUUUCCUUUUUUUUUUUCCCAUAUAUUAGAAUGAAAUGUUGUUGUCCAUUUUAGGGGAAGGCGUUAUGCUGAACUGAACUGUGCGAGGGGAAUGAAAAUUAAUUUAGGGGUUUUCUUCCUCCUCUAUUUUUGGCUCUCUUUCAUGAGGGUACAGAUUCUCUUUUUUUCUCUCGGAGUGUUUGGAUUGUUUCAUUCCAUUUAACUAUUUUUGCAGCAUAUUCCGAGUGUUAUAGGUAUUGGGUAAUCAGUAAUACAGAAAAUGUAAUAUAAUUUUGUACUAUGUAGUUUUGGACUUGGGGUAGGAUGAGUUUAAUUUAUGUAGAUUCAUGUCACUAUUCUCAGCCUUCAAUGCAUUGAUUUCUCCAGAUUUUGAUAUAUAUAUAUAUAUAUAUAUACAAACUGCAAUGGGAAUAAAAAGGAUGGUUGUUUCUUCAAGAAUUCUGAGAAAAAAAAAGGGGGUGGGGGGGCAAGAGAGGUUUGAGGAGGCCAUUGGGACUGUUAUCAGUUCUGUGUCUUUUGUUUUCAAGUUGUAAGAAGUCCCUGUUAUGCCAUUUGCUAUGUUGUUUCUGUCCAAUUUUCAGUUGAAAGAGUGGUAGAUUAGAGAAGGAGGAAUGGCUCAGACAUCUGGAUGCAGCUCUGGAGAUAGUAGAUGGUCUCUCAAGGGAAUGACUGCUCUCGUAACUGGUGGAACUAAAGGAAUUGGGUUUGUGAUGUUACCUGUAUUCUAUGUCUUUGGUUUGGACUACACCUUCCUUCCCAUAUAUAAAUGUAUGUAUCAAUUAUGCAGGCAUGCAAUUGUGGAAGAACUGGCUGGACUAGGAGCAACCAUACACACAUGUUCUAGAAAAGAAACCGAGCUCAAUGAAUGCUUGAAGGAUUGGAAAGCUAAAGGUUUUGGAGUGAGUGGUUCAGUGUGUGAUGUAUCCUCUCGGGCCCAAAGGGAGAAGCUAAUGCAGACUAUCUCUUCUGUGUUCAAUGGGAAGUUGAAUAUCCUUGUAAGUUCCUCUAGCCUGUAAAGUUCCAACCUGUGAUCUUAUACAUAAUUUGUUGAACUUAUUACAAUUGAGUUCCCCUGCUUGAAUUUUUGUUGGAUUCAGAUCAACAAUGCUGCUAUAAGUAUUCAGAAACCAACAAUAGAGGUCACAGCUGAAGAGUUCUCAACAAUCAUGGCCACAAAUUUUGAAUCUGUGUACCAUCUGUCCCAAAUCGCACACCCCCUUUUAAAGGCAUCAGGAGCCGGAAGCAUUGUAUUCAUCUCCUCUGUUUCCGGCAUAGUGGCACACAAGAAUAUCUCUGCUUAUUCAGUAACCAAAGGUAUUUCAUCACAUGAUCCAUGGUAUAUUCCAAGUGCUAGGAGUAAAUUCCUAUUUACCAGAGCAAUACUGAACAAGAGAAACAUAUAGAAUUUAUAGCGGUUCUCUUCUAAAGGGAGAGCUACAUCCAUUUUGCCAUUGUAGAUUUUCAUUAUGAAAAAAAAAAAAACCUACAGAACGAUCUCAGGUCUUACAAUAAUUAUCUCAUCUCUGAUUUUCCACAGAGAAAACAGUCACCAUGCAUGUACAAAAUAACUAUAAUAUCCCUUUGAUUGAUUCUCAGUCACCAGGAAAAGUGUAUAUUGUAAUUAGCAAGGCUCCACACAACUGAACAGCAAGUCCUUGGAUUGACCAUCUGUCAUUAUCAUUUUGUGAUUUUUCAGGAGCAAUGAAUCAACUUACAAAGAAUUUGGCAUGCGAGUGGGCGAAAGACAAUAUUAGAAGUAAUGCUGUAGCUCCUUGGUACAUCAAAACUCCAAUGGUGGAGCAGGUAAUUUCUAAUUUCCCUUCACAUCAUUUAGUUGCUCGAAUUCCCUUCUUUUUUUCUUGGUCUGGGAAAAUAGAAUAAUUGACUCGUCCUUCCUUCUCUGUCGUUUACAUUCUCUGGGUUCCAGAUGCUCACUAACCAAGCCUUUCUGGAAGAGGUGAUAAAUCGAGCUCCACUUCGUCGUGUGGGAGAUCCAAAGGAGGUGUCAUCUUUGGUAGCAUUCCUCUGCCUACCGGCAUCAUCUUACAUUACUGGACAGAUUAUUUGUGUUGAUGGUGGCAUGACUGUUAAUGGUUUUGAGUCAAACCUGCUCUAGGAACAUCAUAUGUGAUGGUAUUAUAGCCCUAAUUUGGCUGGCAUGUAUGGAGACUCUUUCAAACAUCUUAGCUUCCUCUACUGCUUCCAUGCCUGGAUCCUUUCUUUUUCCUGAAUAAUCUGCUUGUCAUGCCAAAGUCUUUAGUUUUUUUGGUGUGGGGUUCCCUUGAAAACCUUGCUGCAUGAUGCUUAUAAUAAUGUUUGGAAAGUUUGCUAAUUUUUAUUUGGGUUCAAAUUUUAAUUUUUCAAAAAGUUUCUUAUUAUUUGAUGAGAUUCUUGUGAAGGGUGUUUUUAUAAGGAUUUUAAUUCCAUACAUAAAUCAUACAUCUUUAAUCUCAAUACCAUUGAAAUAUAUAUCCAAUCCUUUGUUGUUCUUUCGUUUUUUUGUAACUUAAUUGUAGUAGGAUCGGAAAUAUGCGAACACUUUCUACUUUUGACCAUUUGCUUUGCUAAAUUAGACCAACUUUUCAUAAUACAAUUCUCAAGUAUUUCUUCAUUUUCAUUACAAUGAUCAUGCAUGGAUAUGGAAAAACUAAUCGGACUCUAAUGUCGUUCAAAUGCAUUUCAUAGAUCAAUCUUCAUCGUCGUAUCCUAAUUUUCAAAACUUGUUAGAACUUCUAAACUUAGUCAAUAUGUAUAGACAUGAUAUCCUCCAUGAUUUUUUUUUAUUGCAACGAAAAAAAGUUAUACAUUCUAUAUUUGAUCCCUAAAUAAAAAAGAAAAAAAGAAAAAAAAAAGAAUGUCUUGCAAAAAUAUUAGGGUUGCACAAAGUUUGGUUGUUAGAAUAAGUAAAAAUGAUGUGCAUCAAAAUAUGUCUUUGAGAAUGGCAAAUAUGUGAGUGCGCUUUAAAAACUCAAAUGGCUUCAAAUGAAUUUCAAGGAAAUGAUUCCAACAUAUAUUCAUCUUCUUAUACCUUUCUGUGCUUCUCCACCAUUUGUAACAAUUUCCUCACUCAUUUGUAAUCCUAAUAAACCUUCCGACCUAUUUUAAAAUUUGUCAAUAUAUUUUAAGCUAAGCUCACCAUCUAUAGUAUCAAAAAAAUUUCUCCUUAAUCCAUGUGGGAUAUGUAUAAUGAAUAAUAUUUGCUCAAAGGUUAAAUAUAUGAAAAUAAUUAAGAUUCAAUCACAUAAAAAUUACAUAUAGCAAGUAGGGAUAACAAUUUUGAUACUAAUAUAAUAAAACGACUAAAAAAUUACAUGGAUUUUAGUAGUUUUGGGUUAAGUAUAAUCAUAUUUAUGUUAUAAUUGUGUAAACACAUUUAUUAAACCAAUGAUAUUGGAAUGUGACUAUUCAACUCAUUUAACCCAUUUAUUUAUUCAUAUCAAAACACAUCUAUGAUAUGAUUAUGAGAACUAAUUUAUGAUUGACAUAACCAAUUUAUAACUUAUUAAUUAAUUCAUAUAAAUUUAUUAAUUUUAUAGAUAUUUAAAAAAUAUUAAAAAUUUAAAACACUUUUUCAAUUAUAAAGAUGUCCUAUAAAACACUAAGGAGGUCACCCUUAUUUAUAUAUGAAAUUAGGGAAUUAAAUUUGAAAUAUAUGAUAUUUGAUUACUUAAUUUAAAGAAUUUGAUUUCUUAAUUUCAAUAACUUUUCAGCCUCAUUUAAGAAAUUUGCCAACAAUCAAAUGUUUUUUCUAAGUCCCUUUUGACUUCAAUUUCCCAAUUUGUUUCUCCUAUUUGAGAAAUCUAUCAAUAAGAAAAUAUUUCUCUCUAAUUCCUUUUUAACUUUAAUUAUUUUAUUUUAUUUUAUAAGACUAGAUUUUGAAACCGUUCAAAUUUUACCGUGUGUUAUUUUUAAAAUCGUAUAUCGCAUGUUCAAUGUGUAGAAUUCAUGACUUAUGAAAUCCAAAUUUUAUUGAACUAUAGGGUUAUAACUUUAGUGACAAAUUUUAUAGUAAUUUAAUCCUUCUUUUAUUUUUAAGCCUACAUAGCUCAACAAGUUGAAUAUAUUUUUAUCGUGUUAAUGGGUUAUCAGUCUUGAUUUAAUUUAAUUUAUCAAAGAGGUUAAAUGAAUGAUUCCCAAUUUGCCACCACAAUAACAAGAGACAACAGACAGAAGGAAAGAGAAACUAAAAUACGUAAUGUGACUUUUCCUUUCAUGUUGCUUACUAUACUUGGUGUCUCUUAAUUUGUUUUUAUUAUAAGAUGUUAAUAAUAUGAUUUUAUUGAUUUAUACCCCAUAUAUAUCAUUUGAGGGAUUGAAAAUAUUGCAAAUUCAUAAUUAAAUUUAAAAGAUAAAUACAUAUACACACACACACAUAUAUAUAUAUAUAUAUAUAUAUAUAUAUAUAUAUAUGAAUAAAAAAAAUCAUCUAUGUAUAAAAUAAUAAUAAGUAGUCUAUUUUUAUCAUUUUUAUGUUAGAAGUUAAUCGAAAACAUAUUUUUUGUUUUUCCAUAAUUUAUACAAAAUUAUAAUAAAAUUUUUAUUCUAGAUAAAAUUAUAUUUUAUAAUUUGUAAUAAUUUAAUUAUAUCAAUUUAAUAUUUUGAUAUCCGUCGUAAAUUAUAUAGAAAUAUUGGAGUGCAAAUACUAAACUACAUAAUAACAACAAGACACCUUAUUCAUCCAAAUUUUCAAAUUUCAAAUAGAAAAUAUUAAAAACAUAAUUUUUAAAUUUAUUAAAAUAUUUAUAUUUGUAAAAAAGUAAUUAAUAAAGAUUUUAAAAUUUUAAAUAUGAUUAAUGAGAUUAUUAUGUGGGUAUUUAUUACUAAUAUUUAAUAUUAAAAAAAAUAAAAUAACAAUAUGAUAUUAAGAUUAUAUUUUUAUAAAUAUAGCAAAAUGAGAUUAUUCUAAAUUCAGUGAUGAUAACAUUAUAGUAAAAAUAAGGAGUGAUAUAAUUAUAAAUAUUUCACUAAGAGCAUAAAAAAUAAAAAAAUAUGGUAAAUUUAGCGAGUAAUAUUGUUACUAUAAAUAUCUGGUGACACGACGACAGAUAUAUGAGUAGAGAAAAACCUCGCUAUUCUACAUAUAGAGAUUCAGAUACCAUUGCCUAUGUCAUGAAAUCAGAGUCCACAAGAAGACAACAUAAAAUGCUAUCGAUCCAUCGCUGUUUCUUGCUCCUGUUAUAAAUUAUGGAUACUAGAUGAAGAUGAGAAGUAGAAGGAGAAGAAACACUUAGCUUUCAAGGAGUCGUAGAGCAGAGGAGGAGACAUGGCUCAGACAUGUGGGUGCAGCUCUGGAGAUAGUAGAUGGUUUCUCAAGGGAAUGACUGCUCUUGUAACCGGUGGAACUAAAGGAAUUGGGUUGGUGUUACCUGUUUUUACGUCUUUGGGUUUGGACUACACCUUCCUAUAUAUAAACGUAUGUAUCAAUUCUGCAGGCAUGCAAUUGUGGAGGAACUGGCUGGAUUAGGAGCAACCAUACACACGUGUUCUCGAAAAGAAAGCGAGCUCAAUGAAUGCUUAAAGGAUUGGAAAGCUAAAGGUUUGGAGUGAGUGGUUCAGUGUGUGAUGUAUCCUCUCGGGCCCAAAGGGAGAAGCUAAUGGAGACUGUCUCUUCUGUGUUCAAUGGGAAGCUGUAUAUCCUUGUAAGUUCCUCUAGUCUCUAAGGUUCCUAUCCAUGAUAUUCCACAUACUUUGUCGAACUUCCUACAAUUUGAGUUCCCCUACUUGAUAUAUAUAUAUAUAUAUAUAUUAUAUACUUUUUUUUAGAACCAGACAGCUUUGGUUUCAAAGACCCUACAUUUACCCAUCAUCCUUGUUAAAUAAUUAUGAGGAAGUCAUACUUACACGUGGAGAUUGAAAAAAAUAAUGAAUGAAUUCCACCAAAUGAAUUAAUUUUGUUUGGCAAUUUCAUUUGAAAAUCAACAAAGAAUGAUGUGAGGUGUGAAUCUUUUUCCAUAUAUCAGCGCACAUAUUCAAAUUCAGCCCUUUCCAUUAAUCUGAUAGCGAUUAUGAGGUUGCGUAGAUGCUACAACAACGACCAAAUGUGAUGAAGAUUUCAGGAAGUGUUGUGAAGAAUUUGAAGAAAAAUAUGAAGAAUUUGAAACAAAAUAUGGAGGAACACCUCAAUUCAUUCUGUGAUACCUUCCUUUACAAUGAAUGAAAGCAUAAAUAAAUAGCCUACGGAUAUGAGACAAUUCCGGAAUGGAAUUUCCCUUACAUGGAAAGUGAAUAAACUCUUACAUGGGAAGUGAAUAAACUACUCUUACAUGGAAAGUGAAUAAACUACCUUGCUAGAAUUACUCCUAAAUAUAUAAACUACUCUUACAUGGAAAGUGAAUAAACUACCUUGCUAGAAUUACUCCUAAAUCAAUUAUAAUAAAGGCUGUACAUUACACUAAUUAGGGAAGUAAACAGAGGAUGCUGGCUUGAUUUCCAACACUCCCCCUCAAGCCGCAUUGUAGAUGUUGAUCAUUCCAAGUUUUUCUGUCAGAUCUUCGAAGUUAACUCGAGCAAGAGCUUUUGUGAGAAUGUCAGCCGUUUGACAGUUUGUCGGAGUGUAGCUGACUUUGAAAACUCCUUCUUCAAUCUUUUCCUUGAUAAAGUGUCGAUCUAUCUCCACGUGCUUAGUUCGAUCAUGAUGAACCGGAUUCUUAGCGAUACUGAUGGCAGCUUGAUUGUCGCAGUAUAACACCAUGGGAUGCUUCAAUGGAACCCGUAAUUCUUCUAACAGCCUGUUCAACCAGAUUCCCUCGCAGAUACCUUGUGCCAUAGCACGAAAUUCUGCCUCAGCACUGCUACGGGCUACCACUGACUGUUUCUUGCUUCGCCAUGUAACCAAGUUCCCUCAGACAAAUGAACAAUAGCCUGAAGUUGAUCUCCGAUCAGUCACUAAACCUGCCCAAUCUGCAUCUGAAAAAAUCUCUAUCUCUUUAUUUGUUGUUCUUUGAAAGAAGAGACCCUUUCCCGGUGUCAUCUUGAGGUAUCUCAAUAUUCUGAUCACAGCAAUCAUGUGUUUUUCGGUUGGAUUAUUCAUGAAUUGACUUACCACACUAACGGAGAAGCCGAUGUCUGGCCUUGUAUGAGAAAGAUAGAUGAGUUUCCCCACAAGACGUUGAUAUCUUCCUUUAUCAACUGGCGCACUUCCAUCACAUUUCUUCCANNNNNNNNNNNNNNNNNNNNNNNNNNNNNNNNNNNNNNNNNNNNNNNNNNNNNNNNNNNNNNNNNNNNNNNNNNNNNNNNNNNNNNNNNNNNNNNNNNNNNNNNNNNNNNNNNNNNNNNNNNNNNNNNNNNNNNNNNNNNNNNNNNNNNNNNNNNNNNNNNNNNNNNNNNNNNNNNNNNNNNNNNNNNNNNNNNNNNNNNNNNNNNNNNNNNNNNNNNNNNNNNNNNNNNNNNNNNNNNNNNNNNNNNNNNNNNNNNNNNNNNNNNNNNNNNNNNNNNNNNNNNNNNNNNNNNNNNNNNNNNNNNNNNNNNNNNNNNNNNNNNNNNNNNNNNNNNNNNNNNNNNNNNNNNNNNNNNNNNNNNNNNNNNNNNNNNNNNNNNNNNNNNNNNNNNNNNNNNNNNNNNNNNNNNNNNNNNNNNNNNNNNNNNNNNNNNNNNNNNNNNNNNNNNNNNNNNNNNNNNNNNNNNNNNNNNNNNNNNNNNNNNNNNNNNNNNNNNNNNNNNNNNNNNNNNNNNNNNNNNNNNNNNNNNNNNNNNNNNNNNNNNNNNNNNNNNNNNNNNNNNNNNNNNNNNNNNNNNNNNNNNNNNNNNNNNNNNNNNNNNNNNNNNNNNNNNNNNNNNNNNNNNNNNNNNNNNNNNNNNNNNNNNNNNNNNNNNNNNNNNNNNNNNNNNNNNNNNNNNNNNNNNNNNNNNNNNNNNNNNNNNNNNNNNNNNNNNNNNNNNNNNNNNNNNNNNNNNNNNNNNNNNNNNNNNNNNNNNNNNNNNNNNNNNNNNNNNNNNNNNNNNNNNNNNNNNNNNNNNNNNNNNNNNNNNNNNNNNNNNNNNNNNNNNNNNNNNNNNNNNNNNNNNNNNNNNNNNNNNNNNNNNNNNNNNNNNNNNNNNNNNNNNNNNNNNNNNNNNNNNNNNNNNNNNNNNNNNNNNNNNNNNNNNNNNNNNNNNNNNNNNNNNNNNNNNNNNNNNNNNNNNNNNNNNNNNNNAUGCAUGAAACGUAGGUGAUAGCUUAUCAUAAGAAAAUAAAAUUUCCAAAUGGGAUGCUGAGUGCAUGAUCUAACUCCUUUCCUCCAAGCUAUGGGCAUAUUAAGAAUAUCAUUUUCUAACUCGGAAUCAACAGUACCAUCAGGAGCGUUGUUACCUGGAAGUUUGCUUGGAUUAGGACCCGGUUCUGCCUCAUGGGUUUGUUGAGAAAGUGAUCUUUCCUCCGUUUCCUCUUGGAUGUGCUCCUUAUCCCACAAGUCAACAAUGGACUCGGGUUGAUUAAAUGACUCUGGAGGAAUGUGAUUUUCAGUGGUGAUGGGUGACUCACUGAAUGACUCAAGAUCCCAAAAUUGAUAUUCCUGAGUUGAAUUCUCCCCCUGAAUAUCGUUUUUGGGAUAGUAAGGCUGGGUUUCAAAAAAGGUGACAUCCAUUGAAUUUUAGAAUUUUCUUGUGACCGGAGAGUAACACUUAUACCCUUUUUGAUUUGAAGAAUACCCAAGAAAGAUGCACUUGAGUGACCUAGGAUCAAGUUUACUUCUAUGUUGUUGAUUGAUAUGAACAAAGAUAGAGCACCCGAAAAUUUUAGGUGGGACGGUGGAGAUGAGACGAGUAGUCGGAAAGGAUUUUAGGAGUGUUUGACAAGGUGUUUGGAAUUUUAGUACCCUAGACGGCAUCCUAUUGAUGAGGUAGGCUGCCAUAAGGACAGCUUGCCCCCAGAAUAAUUUUGGAACAUUCAUGGAGAACAUUAGUGAUCUAGCCACCUCUAACAAAUGCCUAUUUUUCCUUUCAGCGAUUCCGUUUUGUUGUGGGGUAUCAACACAUGAAUUUAAGUGAACUAUCCCUUCUUGUGCUAGAAAUUCUCCUAGAAUGGAGUUGAAAUAAUCCCUAGCAUUAUCAGACUUUAGAAUUUGUAUUUUUGACUGGAAUUGAGUCUGAAUCAUAUUUUUAAAAUUUUUGAAAAUUUGACUCGUUUCAGAUUUUUCUUUCAUGAGGAAUACCCAAGUUAAUCUAGUGUGAUCAUCUAUGAAUGAGACAAACCACCUAGUACCAGUUACAUUUUUUAUUCUUGAUGGACCCCAGAUAUUGCUAUGAAUCAUUGAGAAUGGACUAGACUCUUUAUAGGGUUGAAUGGGAAAAUGAGACCGGACUUGCUUUGAUAAUUGACAGAUUUCACACUCAAAGGAUUUUGGAUUUUUAUUAAAUAAUGAAGGAAAUAAAUGCUUGAGAUACAUAACAUUUGGAUGACCUAAGCGAUAGUGCCACAACCUAAUUGCACUAUCGUUAUUUUGACAUGAAACCAAAAAAGAAUUACUACCAACUGUCAUUUGAGGUUGUUCUUGUGGAUCGUGGCGCUCCUUAAGGAUGUAGAGUCCAGAGCAUUCCUCAGCAUUGCCAAUCGUCUUCCCCGAAUCCAAAUCCUGAAAUUCACAGUGAGUGGAGGAAAAAUUAGUAGAUACACCUCUUUUCCUUAGUGAGUUUACUAANNNNNNNNNNNNNNNNNNNNNNNNNNNNNNNNNNNNNNNNNNNNNNNNNNNNNNNNNNNNNNNNNNNNNNNNNNNNNNNNNNNNNNNNNNNNNNNNNNNNCGUCAUAUGAUCAGAUGCUCCUGAGUCCACUAUCCAAGGUUUUUUACGUUUCUUACCAGCAGUGAAGGCACUCAAAAAAUUACCUUUGUGAGCCAAGGUUCCGGAACCAAUGACCUGGUUGGAAGAUGAGCCAGUUUGUGACUGUACUGACAAAAGAGGAGACAGUAGUUUCUGAAGCAUCUCCAUCUGAUGAGAGGAUGAAGACGAUGAGAUGAUGAUAUCAGAAGUAGAGGAUGAUGAGUUGGUAGCCAUUCCAAAGGCUGGACCGUAUUUAGGCAUAAAUUAGAAGAAUAGAAUUGAGUAAAAAAAAACUGACUAAAGAUGAAGACGAUGAGACAGGAUUAAACCUGCUCUGAUACCAUGAAGAAUUUGAAGAAAAAUAUGAAGAAUUUGAAAACAAAAUAUGGAGGAACACCUCAAUUCAUUCUGUGAUACCUUCCUUUACAAUGAAUGAAAGCAUAAAUAAAUAGCCUACGGAUAUGAGACAAUUCCGGAAGGGAAUUUCCCUUACAUGGAAAGUGAAUAAACUCUUACAUGGGAAGUGAAUAAACUACUCUUACAUGGAAAGUGAAUAAACUACCUUGCUAGAAUUACUCCUAAAUCAAUUAUAAUAAAGGCUGUACAUUACACUAAUUAGGGAAGUAAACAGAGGAUGCUGGCUUGAUUUCCAACAUGUUGGAGUGCGCAUGCUUGAGGAUGAAAACUGUGAACUUGAAAUGACUUAGAAGAUUAAUUUAAGUUUUCAAAUACAUAAAAUAUAAUUAAUAACAUAACUUAAUACAAUAAGUUAAGGCUUCCUAAAGUCUUAAAAUAAAUAACUUUUUCCCAACCUGAAAUAUCCUUUGCCUUGGUAAUAUUCAUGUUCUUCAAGAUCAAAAUUAGUUUGUUUGAUAUAUAAUUCAAAUUAAAAGAUGGAGGGUGUGCCGGGUCCUUUCUAAAUUCAAAAUGGCAUCAUGAAUCAGGUAAGGUUGUGCCCCACGGAUGAAAAUAUAGUAUUAGUUUGGACAAUGUGCCAUGGAAAGAAGAUAGAUUAAGUUCUACAUAUUCAUAUCAGUUGUCUCAGCUUUCACGGCAGACAUUUUCGACGCAAGAGACCGUCUCUUGCGGUGAGUAUUAACCACACUUCUAAAGUUGGAUGUUCGAGAAGACAACUGGGAUUGAUCAGUUUUGUCUCUUUUAUUUUCAGCUUCCUAGAAUCUCUCUCUCUAUCUCUCUUUUUUUUUUCUCAAGGUUAAUGUCAUUUUCUAUGUUGUGGUAGAGUAGAGAAGAACUCAGAAGGCAUGGCACAGACUGGCUGCAGCAAUGGAGAUAAUAGAUGGUCUCUCAAGGGAAUGACAGCCCUUGUAACGGGUGGAAUGAACUUUGAUCUGUCUCUGCCAAUUAUCACCUUGUUUUUAUAUCAAUUCUGCAGGCAUGCUGUUGUGGAAGAACUGACUGGAUUAGGUGCAAGAAUACAUACAUGUUCUCGAACAGAAACUGGGCUUAAUGAAUACUUAAGGGAUUGGGAGGGUAAAGGUUUUGAAGUCACUGGCUCAGUCUGUGAUGUAUCCUCUAGGGCCCAAAGAGAGAAGCUAAUGGAGACAGUAUCUUCUAAGUUUAAUGGGAAGCUGAAUAUCCUUGUUAGUUCCUCUAGUUUGUUAAAUGUGACCCAUCCAUUUUAGAAUCAUUUUCACUAAAUAUAAUUGAUGAGUUACCCUAACUGAAUCUUUGAAUUUAGAUCAACAACGCUGGAACUGGCAAACCGGGACGGACAGUGGAGUUCGCAGCUGAAGAGUUCUCAACGGUCAUGGCUGUAAAUUUUGAAUCUGUGUAUCAUCUAUGCCAACUUGCGCAUCCCCUUCUGAAGGCCUCAGGAGCGGGAAGUAUUGUGCUCAUGUCUUGUGUUUCAGGUGUAGUAUCACUCAAGUAUCUAUCUGCCUAUGGAGCAACCAAAGGUACUUCAUGCCACCAUCGGGUUUAUGUUGCAGGUCCUGUGUUGUUGGACAAGAUGAUAGAUAUUUACCUUUAAAAUUUUUCUUUCGGGGGCACUGAAUCAGCUUGCAAAGAACUUGGCAUGCGAGUGGGCGCAAGACAAUAUCAGGACAAACUCUGUUGCCCCUCGGUACAUCAAAACUUCUCUGGUAGAACCUGUGAGUUUAAUUCCCUUCACCUCAUUUAAAAGUUGCUGUUGUUUUCAUUGGGAAAACUGAUUAAUAAACCAAUCUUCUGUUUUGUUUUCUUUUAUUUUUUUGGUUGUAUCAUUUUGGUUUCAGUUUCUUAGUGAGAAAAGCUUUACGGAAGAGGUAAUAAGAAGAACUCCGCUUGGUCGAGUGGGGGAUCCAAAGGAGGUGUCAUCCUUGGUAGCAUUCCUCUGCCUACCAGUAUCAUCUUACAUUACUGGCCAGACCAUUUGUGCUGAUGGUGGGAUGAAUGUUAAUGGUUUCGAUCCGAGUCAAUGCUAGAAACAACUAGCAUUUAUAUAAUUGUUGUUUUCUCAUAUUUUUCAUACUCACUCUAAUAUUCUUCAUUAUCAUAUUUAUAUAUAUAUAUAUAUAUAGAUAUAUAUAUAUAUUUAUGUAGGUGUACGUGCACACGUGUGUUCAUGUGCGGAUCAUGGACAUUUUUUUUGUAUUCUGUCAUAUUCUUCUUACACUCUCAAAAUAUUCAUAUAUUUUUUACAAUCUUCAUGCAUUUUUUUUUUUUAAUUCUUGAUAUUCUCUCAUAUUCUUUGUAUAAUUUAUAUUGGAAAAAUGAAUAAAAAAAAUAUGGUUUAAAAUUGAUAAAAUAAGAAUAAAAGAUAUAAAAAUAAAAUAAAAUGAUAGAAAAAUAUCAAUAUUAGAGGAAGAUAUACUUGGAUAAUUAGACGCUAAAACCUUGAAGAUGCAAACAUAGUAUGUGGCUAUUUAAUGAGGAACUUAAGGAAUUUGUUCAAUAAUAGUAGCUACCAUGGGAUUAAAGGAUAGUGUAAACGAGUCCGAGGGAGAAACAAUUUUAAUAAAAAAUUAAUUAAAAAUUUAUAUAUUUGUAAUAAAAAUUUGAAAUAAGUUAAAUUAAUUUAAAAUGAUAUAUAAAAAUGAUUUACUGCUUUAAAUCUAUUUUUAUUUUUUAUUUUUUUUUCAUUUCUUUUUUACUUUUUCUUUAUAUAUAUAUAUAUAUAUAUAUAGAUAUAGAUAUAGAUAUAUAUAUUAUAUAUUUUUUUGAGAACCAGCCAGCUUUGGUUUCAAAGACCCUACAUUUACCCACCAUCCUUGUCAAAUAAUUAUGAGGAGCUCAUGCUUACAUGUGGAGAUUGAAAAAAAAUAAUGAUUGAAUUCCACCAAAUGAAUUAAUUUUGUUUGGCAAUUUCAUUUGAAAAUCAACAAAGAAUGAUGUGAUGUGUGAAUCUUUUUCCAUAUAUCAGCGCACAUAUUCAAAUUCAUCCCUUUCCAUUAAUCUGAUAGCGAUUAUGAGGUUGCGUAGAUGCUACGACGACGACCAAAUGUGAUGAAGAUUUCAGGAAGUGUUGGAGUGCGCAUGCUUGAGGACCAAAACUGUGAACUUGAAAUGACUAUUGAAUGCUACCAUAUGAAAUUCGGCCUGAAUCUUUUUCCAAUUCAAAUGCAGGCAGUUCCAUUAAUUUGAUAGAUAUUAUGAGGUUGCCUAUCAUGCUAAGAUAACCAAAUCCGAUGAGAAGUUCAAGAAGUGUUUUGAGUGUGUUUUAGUACUGACACCAUGAAUUCAAAAACAAAUAUAACAUAGAAACACAAAUCAAAACCCAUCACAUGAUGAUAUAGUCGAUAGGAAAUUUGCUUUCUUAAACCAUGCCACGUCCCAUGAAAAAGAAAAUUAAGAAAAUUACAAAUUUUACUUCGAUGGGCUCACAUGCUAUGUGAACCGUCCACUUAAUCGAGGUUAAGAUUAUCUUCAUUUACUUAGAAGAUAAUAAUGAAUUUUUCAAGUAAAAUUUUUUGAGAACCAGACAGCUUUGGUUUCAAAGACCCUACAUUUACCCAUCAUCCUUGUUAAAUAAUUAUGAGGAAGUCAUACUUACACGUGGAGAUUGAAAAAAAUAAUGAAUGAAUUCCACCAAACGAAUUAAUUUUGUUUGGCAAUUUCAUUUGAAAAUCAACAAAGAAUGAUGUGAGGUGUGAAUCUUUUUCCAUAUAUCAGCGCACAUAUUCAAAUUCAGCCCUUUCCAUUAAUUUGAUAGCGAUUAUGAGGUUGCGUAGAUGCUACGACGACGACCAAAUGUGAUGAAGAUUUCAGGAAGUGUUGGAGUGCGCAUGUUUGAGGACGAAAACUGUGAACUUGAAAUGACUUAGAAGAUUAAUUUAAGUUUUCAAAUACAUAAAAUAUAAUUAAUAACAUAACUUAAUACAAUAAGUUAAGGCUUCCUAAAGUCUUAAAAUAAAUAACUUUUUCCCAACCUGAAAUAUCCUUUGCCUUGGUAAUAUUCAUGUUCUUCAAGAUCAAAAUUAGUUUGUUUGAUAUAUAAUUCAAAUUAAAAGAUGGAGGGUGUGUCGGUCCUUUCUAAAUUCAAAAUUGCAUCAUCAAUCAAUCGGAUAAGGUUGUGUCCGACGGAUGAAAAUGUAAUAUUAGUUUGGACAAUGUGCCAUGGAAAGAAGAUAGAUAGAUUAAGUUCUACAUAUUCAUAUCAGUUGUCUCAGCUUUCACGGCAGACAUUUUCGACGCAAGAGACUGUCUCUUGCGGUGAGUAUUAACCACACUUCUAAACUUGGAUGUUCGAGAAGACAACUGGGAUUGAUCAGUUUUGUCUCUUUUAUUUUCAGCUUCCUAGAAUCUCUUUUUUUUUUUUUUCUCAAGGUUAAUGUCAUUUUCUAUGUUGUGGUAGAGUAGAGAAGAGCUCAGAAGGCAUGGCACAGACUGGCUGCAGCAAUGGAGAUAAUAGAUGGUCUCUCAAGGGAAUGACGGCCCUUGUAACGGGUGGAACUAGAGGAAUCGGGUCCGUGUUACCUGUUUUUCUGUUCUGGAAUGAACUUAAUUUGAUCUGUCUCUGCCAAUUAUCACCUUGUUUUUAUAUCAAUUCUGUAGGCAUGCUGUUGUGGAAGAACUGACUGGAUUAGGUGCAAGAAUACAUACAUGUUCUCGAACAGAAACUGAGCUUAAUGAAUAUUUAAGGGAUUGGGAGGGUAAAGGUUUUGAAGUCACUGGCUCAGUCUGUGAUGUAUCCUCUAGGGCCCAAAGAGAGAAGCUAAUGGAGACAGUAUCUUCUAAGUUUAAUGGGAAGCUGAAUAUCCUUGUUAGUUAACCUCUAGUUUGUUAAAUGUGGCCCAUCCAUUUUAGAAUCAUUUUCAUUAAAUAUAAUUGAUGAGUUACCCUAACCGAAUCUUUGAAUUUAGAUCAACAACGCUGGAACUGGCAAACCGGGACGGACGGUGGAGUUCACAGCUGAAGAGUUCUCAAGUAUCAUGGCUGUAAAUUUUGAAUUUGUCUACCAUCUAUGCCAACUUGCUCAUCCCCUUUUGAAGGCAUCAGGAGCGGGAAGUAUUGUGCUCAUGUCUUCUGUUGCAGGUGUAGUAUCACUCAAGUAUUUAUCUGCCUAUGGUGCAACCAAAGGUACUUCAUUCUACCAUAGGGUUUAUGUUGCAGGUCCUGAGUUGUUGGACAAGAUGAUAGAUAUUUACCUUGAUAAUUUUGCUUCAGGGGCACUGAAUCAGCUUGCGAAGAGCUUGGCAUGCGAGUGGGCGCAAGACAAUAUCAGGGCUAACUCUAUUGCUCCUUGGUUCAUCAAAACUUCUCUGGUAGAACCUGUGAGUACCCUUCACCUCAUUUGAAGUUGCUGUUGUUUUCAUUGGGAAAACUGAUUAAUAAACUAAUCUUCUGUUUUGUUUUCUUUUAUUUUUUUGGUUGUAUCAUUUUGGUUUCAGUUUCUUAGUAAGAAAAGCUUUACGGAAGAGGUAAUAAGAAGAACUCCGCUUGGUCGAGUGGGGGAUCCAAAGGAGGUGUCAUCCUUGGUAGCAUUCCUCUGCCUACCAGCAUCAUCUUACAUUACUGGCCAGACCAUUUGUGUUGAUGGUGGGAUGAGUAUUAAUUGUUUCGAUCCAAGUCAAUGCUAGAAACACCUAGCAUUUAUAUUAAUAUAUGUUGUUUUCUCAAAACCGCUUCUGUUUUUGGGAUUAUUUGCUCGUGAUAGUGACCUUGUGGUCCUAGGAUUAAUGCAUGGUUACCAAAUAUUAAGUCUAUGCUUCCAAUAAAUAUUAAAAAAUUUCUUAUUAUUCAAUCACGGAUUUCUACCUUCUUCUCCGGUCAUAGAUACUGUUUAGGUCUCCGGUGCAUUCCCCGCUCACCCACCUACAUCUGAUUGGUUGCAACGUUCAAUCACGGAUUUCUUAUUAUUCAUAUAUCUUUUAGUACAUUUUUUCAAAUUCUUGAUAUUUAUUCGUAUUAUUUGUAUAAUUUAUAUAAGAAAAAAUGAUUUAAAAUAAAAAUAUAUGGUUUAAAAUUGAUAAAAUAUCAUGAAUAACGUUUUACAAUCCAUAAGAUACAAAAAUAAAACAAACUGAUAGAAAAAUAUCGACAUUGGUUAAAAAUAAUUAAGUUAAUCGCGAGUAUAACUAAAUCAUCUCAACUUGAUGAAUGAUAAAUUCAUUUAUAAAAAAAUUUAAAAUAAAAAACCUAUUAAUUAUUGAAAAUUCAAAUAUGAUUUGAUAUAAAUGUUUUGUUAUGAAAUUUACAUUUGUAUGAAAAAAUAGUAAACUUUUCUUAAGGUUCGUAGUCCCCUGGAAACAUUUUUUAGUAUUUUUUUCGAGAGGUACAAAUUUCUUGCUUACUUUAAUAUAUUUAAGACACAAAAUUUGACAUAUAUAUUUGAUCCAUCAAUCAAAACUCCCAUCCCACACACAUUUUGUAAAGUUAGAGCCAUUAGUUUUUAUAUUCAAUUUUUACCUCUUUUUUUGCAUAUUUUAAUAAGAAUAAAUUAGAUGUUGUAAUUUCUUAUUUUAAAUAAGAGUAUGAUACCACAUUAAACGAUAAAAUAAAAAUUGUAUAUAUGUGAAAUAUAUGUCAUUAUUCAUCUUGAUAUGUAUUAUACUGUUUACCUCUUCAACAAGUUUUGUAAAAUUUUUUGUUUUGUAGUAAGUAAAGUGUGGAGAGUUACCCUCAAAGACAUGGGAUUUAAAAGAAAUAAGAAAAAGAGAAAAAUGUCAAAUAUUUCUUAUUAUAAUCACUUGAAAAAUAAGUCCAAUACACGUGGAGUUGAAAUAGGUUUACAAUCAAAGGAAGUAAAAGAAAAAAAGAUAAACUAAUCUUUCCUUGCUCCAAAAAAGAAAGAUAAUAAUGUUGAUGUGGUAAAUAAAUUAAUAAUUUUAACAUCUCCCCACAAACUCAUAAAACUCAUAAUGCGGUUGUAAGAAGUAGUGAGAGCUUAAAUAAAUUAACUUACAAUAAAAUGAAGUAAAAGAAAAAAAUUAAUUUACCCUUACUCGAUAAAUCUUUAGUAUAUUAUUAUUAUUAUUAUUAUUAUUAUUAUUAUUAUAUCUCAAAGUCAAGAUUAUGAACAUGAAAAUUAAACAUAUCGCGCUUCAAUCUUGACAAGACUAAUAUAAAGUGAGGUUUUCCCCUUCUUAUUAUUAAUAUUAUUAUUAUCACUACUACGAUAUCUUUGUUUACACUAAAAUCUUUUCUUUAAUGCCCUCAAAGUCAAGAUUACGAACAUAAAAAGCAUGUCACACUUCAAUGUUCACAAGACUAAUACAAAAUGAGGUUUCCUCCUAAAUUUAUUAUUACCAUUACAUAUCUUUGUUUACACUAAAAUCCUAUCUUUAAUACCCUAAAAGUCAACAUUAGGAACAUGAGAAACAUUUCACUAUUUAAUGUUGACAUGACUAAUACAAAGUGAGGUUUCCCUAAAUUUAUUAUUAUUAUUACAUAUCUUUGUUUUCACUAAAAUCUUAUCUUUAAUACCCUAAAAGUCAAUAUUAGGAACAUGAGAAACAUUUCACAAUUUAAUGUUGACAAGACUAAUACAAAGUGAGGUUUUCCCCUAAAUUUAUUAUUAUUAUUACAUAUCUUUGUUUCCAUUAAAAUCUUAUAUUUAAUACCCUAAAAGUCAAUAUUAGGAACAUGAAAAGUAUAUCACACUUCAAUGUUGACAAGACAUUAUACAAAGUGAAGUAUUAUUUCCAUAAUAUCUUUGCUUACACUAAAAUCUCAUCUUUAAUAUCCUUGAAGUUAAGAUUAUGAGCAUGAAAAAUAUGGCAUACUUCAAUGUUGACAAGAUUAAUACAAAGUGAGGUUUCUUCGUCAAUUUAUUAUUAUUACUACAAUAUCUUCCUACACUAAAAUCUCAUCUUUAAUAGCUCAAAGUUAAUAUUACAAGCAUGAAAGUUCAACAUGCCAUCCUCCAAUCUUAACAAGGCUAAUACAAAUUGUGAUUUCCCUAAUUUUUUUUCCAUUGUCUUUCUUUUUCUUGUACCUGUUGUGAUCGAUUUAGGUCACAAGCCAAAUAAUUGCAAGAAAAUGAACUCACACGUGAAAAUUGAGAAGGAUGAAAUAUUCUCUAACAUUGCACACUCUUAGAAGAAAAAUCAUUUGGUUGACAAUUUUAUUUGAGACUAACAAAUUGACGGAAGGACAUGAUGUGAGGCCAGCUUGUAUAUGCUUUUAUUCAAAUCUAGCCACAUGAUGAAUCCUACAAACUCCUUUCCCAUUUUUUUAUUGCAAUGUUUUAAAUGAUGCCACGUACCUAAAUUCUUGAAAUUUUGAGUCAGUUAAAGACAUGUCUGGAUGGCAUGGAGGAGAGUUAGGGGGCUAUUCGGCUUGUACCCCUUCAAAUUCAGCCUGCUCCAUUAAUUUGAUAGCUAUCGUGAGGUUGCCUAUGAUGCUAAGAUAACCAAAUGUGAUGAGGAUUUCAAAAAGUAUUCGAGUGUACUUCAGUACCAAAUCUGUGAAAUGAUUAUUGAAUGCUACCUAAUUUUGUUUGAAAUUUUCAUUUGAAAUUAAAUAAAUAAAUAUGUGAGGCCUAAAUCUUUUUCCAUCAUAUUGUACUCAUGUUCAAAGUCUGCCACUUCCAUUCAUUUGACAGCUAUAAUGAGGUUGUCUAUGAUGCUAAAAAUGACCAAACGUGAUGAUGAUUUCAAGAAGUAUUCCAGUAUAUUUUAAUUGGCAAUGUUUUAAAGAUAGGUAUCAUUCAUCCUAAAAAUUCAUCCAUUCAUGUUCAUUGCAUGGUCGAAAUGUUAUUAAACAACUAACAUUAUAAAUAUAUAAUUUAUAUUUUAUUAAAAUUAAAAAUAAUUUUUAAAAACUAAUAUGUAUAUAUAUAUAAUUAAAAACCAAUUAUAUUUAUUUUUUAAUCUUUUAUAUAAAUGUACUAAUAAUUAAAAUUUUAUUAAAUAAAAUAUGUAAAAUUUGAAAAUUGAAUAAAAUUUGCAUUAUAUAUAUAUAAAAGUUUAAAAGAUACUAGAUUAUUUUAUUCAUAUUGAAUUUCUGAAAUAAUAUACAUAUUUUUUUCUUUAGUUUCACAAACAUUAACAUUUGGAUAAGUAGCUGAGUAGUUGUUCCUGAAAAUGCUCAAGCACAUAUUAGCAAGAAUGAAGAAUUUGUUUCUAUUCUUUCAUAUUUUACAGUAGACCAAUGGCUAUAUAUAUAUAUUACAAUGUAACUAAUCUAACCAUCUAUUGAACUACCUAACCAUCUUCUAACUAAUCAUAACAACAUCUGUUAGAGAGGAGAAGAAUCAGCUGCUGGUGCGGGUGCUUGUCUAUCAUCCCCCCGCAAGCUGACAGGUCUUGGGACAAUAGAGAAAUGAGUACGAGCGGCUGAGAACUAACAGCUUGGAACAUAUUUAGUAAAGACAUCUGCCAACUGGUCGGUAGAAGGAACAUAUUGAAUUAAAAGCUCUUUGCGAAUGACCUUAUCACGGACAAAGUGAAGAUCAAUCUCUAUGUGCUUGGAACGGGCAUGGAAGACAGAGUUAGCUGCAAGAGGAGCAGCACUGAUAUUGUCACACCAGAUCAAAGGAGUGUUCGGUUGAGGAAUGCACAACUCUUUGAUCAGAAACUGAACCCAGGAGACCUCAACAGCGAGAAAAGCAAGUGCCCGGUACUCCGAUUUUGCACUACUACGAGAGACGACACGUUGCUUGGUAGAGGACCAUGAGAUGAGAUUGGUGCAAAAAAAAAAGACAAAAGCCACUAGUGCUUCUUCUAUCAUCGAGACAUGAAGCCCAAUCCGCAUCGGUAUAGCCUUGAAGAGACCAAGAUGGUGAGGCAUGGAUAGAAAGACCAUGAGUAGCAGUACCUUUGAGAUAGCGAAGUAUGUGUUUAGCAGCUUGCAGAUGAGAAGUGAUAGGAUGAGCCAUGUAUUUACAAGCUUGAUUUACUGCAAAUGAGAUUUUUGGUCUUGUGAGAGUGAUGUACUGAAGAGCACCCACAAGACUGUGAUAGUGAGUAGCAUCAAGAGCAGAUAAAGGUUCUCCAUCUGCUGCUGAUAACAAUUUUCCCAAAGCACCAAGUGUGCUAGCAGAUUUGGCCCCAAGAAGAUCAGCACGCUCAAGUAGCUGAUGUAUGUAGCGUUGUUGAUUGAGAUGAAGAACAUGAGGAAGCCGGGUGACUUCAAUGCCAAGGAAGUAGCUAAUAUCUCCAAGGUCUUGAAGAGCAAAAUGGGAGCUAAGCUGAGAAAUGAUAUGAUGGACCUGUGGUGGAUUGUUGCCAGUAAUGAGAAUAUCAUCCACAUAGAUUGAGAUGAUGAUAAUAUCAGAUGCAGAGUGGAAAUAAAAUAAAGAUGCAUCAGCCCUUGAGCAUUGGAAUCCCAAUUGUAAGAGAAAGGAGCUGAGCUUGUGGAACCAGGCUCGAGGCGCUUGUUUAAGGCCAUAGAGAGCCUUCUGUAGACGACAAACAUGAGUGGGGCAAGAGCUAUCUUCAAAGCCUAGAGGUUGCAUCAUGAACACCUGUUCUUAAAGAUCUCCAUUUAAAAAAGCAUUGUGGACAUCUAGUUGUUUAAUAGGCCAGUUGGAAGAGACAACAAUGGAGAGAACAAGCCUGAUAGUGCAAGGCUUCACAACUGGACUAAAUGUCUCAAAAAAAUCAAUGCCAUAGGUUUGAUGAAAACCUUGGGCAACCAGCUGAGCUUUGUACCUGUCAAUGCUGCCAUCAGGUUUAUGUUUGAGUUUGAAGACCCAUUUACACCCAAUAAUUUUGGCAUUAGAUGGAGGUGGCACCAAAGACCAAGUUUGAUUCUUCAAUAGAGCUUGAUAUUCUUGUUCCAUAGCAAGCUUCCAAUUAGGGUCUUGAAAAACCUGUUUGACAGUACGUGGCUCAGCUAUGAGUGAGGUAAGAUAGGUCUUCUUCUUAUAGAUACCAAAUUUGGAUCUGGUAAUCAUAGGAUGACUAGGAAUUGGAGCUAUGGAAUCCUGGAGGGAAGCAGUAGAAAUCUCAGCUGCUUCAUCCACAAAUGGCACCUGAAUGAGCGGGGGUAAAGACAAAAAGCUGGCUAGAGGUGAUGUGGGGGCAAGUUCGGAUGGGAUAGCCGGAGAAGAGCUGGUUGUGGAGGGGAAAAGAACAGAAGAUGGAGGAAAAAGAAAUGCUGGAGUGACAGGAAAAUGAGAUGAUUGGUGGGAAGGAGAAGUCAAUGCUUGAAAUGGAAAUGUAGUCUCUACAAAGACUACAUGCCUAGAGAUAUAUACUCUGCCAGUUGUAAGAUUAAGGCAAAAAUAACCCUUGUGAAAUGUUGCAUAACCAAGAAAGAUACAGGGUAUGGACUAUGGCUGAAAUUUGUUGGAGUUGAGAUGUCUGAGGUGUGGAUAACAAAGACAACCAAAGACUUUGAAAUGGAAAUAAUCAGGUGGGUGUUUGUAAAGAAGAGAAAAUGGGGAGCUGUAAUUGAGCAAAGGAGAAGGCAUGCAAUUGAUAAGGGUAAUUGUUGUAGUGAAAGCAUAGGACCAAAAUUUGGAUGGCAGGGCAGUUGUGUAAAGAAGAGUGAGCCCGAUUUCUACAACAUGGCGCAUUUUGCGUUCAACCCGACCAUUUUGUUCAGGUGUAUAAGGGCAAGAAAAUCUAUGGAGUAUACCAUGAAGAGAUAGAAACCGGAGGGUAGUGAACUUUCCACCAUGGUCUGUUUGAAGGCAUUUAAUGGUGGUCUGAAAUUGGUUUUCAACAAGAGUUUUAAAUUGAACAAAAGUGGAGUAAACCUGGUCCUUGGUGAGGAGUAAAUAUAUCCAUACAAACCUAGAGUAAUCAUCCAUGAGCAACAAAAAAUACCAGGCACCUGCGGAGGAAGGAACAGGUGUUGGUCCCCACAAGUUUGCAUGGAUGAGUUCAAGAGGAGAGGAGGCCCGGGAAGUGGACAAAGAAAAAGGAAUUUUGUGACUUUUGGCAUAACAACAAGCAUUGCAAACAUCAAUUGUUUUAUUUGAGUUAUAUGAAAUAUUACAUGUAUGAAAAAUUUUCUGAAGUAUUAUAGCAGAAGGGUGGCCAACUCGUUGAUGCCACAACAUAGUAGUGGGCUGAGUUUUUGUGAGAAACACUUGAUGUUUAGAAUUGGCAGUAGGUGAGUUGAUAGAUGAGGUAGGAAAUUUGUAGAGUCCACGUUCAAGUUGGCCUUGGAGAAGAGUCACUUUGGUAUCCUUGUCCUUGACAAAAAAUGAAAAAGGAUGAAAUUCAAGAAUGGUAUUAUUAUCAGUACAGAAUUUUGACACACUGAUGAGAUUUGAAGUGAGUUGUGGAACAUGAAGCACAUUGUGUAAAACAAAGGGUUUAGCAGAAAUGUGGAGAAAGGAAUGACCAACUUGGGUUAUGGGUAGGGACUUACCAUUGCCAACCAUCACAGAGUCAGUACCAUUGUAUGAAGUACCAUUGUGGAUAUUAGCAACUGUGUGGGAGAGAUGGUGGGUGGCGCUUGAAUCCAAAAACCAGGAGUCCGUUGAUGCUGGGGAAGGUGCUGCCAUCAUGGCUUGAGCAGGAGGAGUGGGACCAGUUUGAGAGGUUGAUGAGGCUGGUGCAUGUGGCCCUUGAUAAUUCACAUCAAAUCUGUGAUAACAAGAGAGGACCAUGUGCCCAAACUUGCCACAUAACUGACACUGUGGUUGGUUAUUUGUCCGGGAUCGAUUAUUGUUGAAUCGGUUAGGGCGAUAUCCUUGAGGAUGUUGCUGUCGUGAAUUUGGAAGAGUGUCAGGUCGUGGGGUUGGCAUGAAUGACUGAGGUGGUUUCCCUUGAGAGGGUUUGAUGGACUGUGACCUUCGUGGUCUGUUAUGAGUUGCAAUAUUGGCAAUGAGGAGGUCUUCUUCAGCAGUUGUGGUUUGAAGAUGCAGCCUCUAUUCAUGAGUCAGAAGGAUGCUAUGUACCGCAUGAAGUUGAAGGUCAUCAUCUCUAGCUGUGAGAGAAGCCAUGAUGGGGUUGUAUUCAACCCCUAGUCCACUUAGUAAUUGAAGAAUUUGAUCCUUUUCUGGCACUGGUUCUCCAAUAGCUGCUAGACUAUCAGAGAUGUGUUUGAGUUUUUGGAUGUAUUCCAUCAUGGUAAGAGGGCCUUUUUUGGUUGUUUGAAAAGCAAGUCUCAGCUGCAUUGUUCUUGCUUUGGUGGAAGCAGAGAAGCUUCAUUGGAGGGUUGUCCAUGCUUCAUGGGAUGUUCGUAGCCCAACAAUUUGGCCCAUAACAUCUGGAGUGAGAGAGGAGUAGAUCCAACUCAGGAUCAUACGAUCAUAUCUCCUCCAAACCAGAAAAUCUGGGUUCACUUCUCCGGUGGAUAUUAUUUUUGGAGGACAUGGUCUCAGACCUUCAAUAUAGUCCUCAAAUCCAUUGGCAUAUAUCACAUUUUCCAUUUGUGUAUGCCAAAGGAUAUAGUUAUCUCUAUCUAGUUUGAUAGGAAGAGGAUGGUUCAGCAUGCUCAUGUUCAGGGUAGAGGUUACCUGAGAAGAGACAAUCUCCGGCGUGGUUUGUGUUGAUGAAGCCAUCGGAAACUAGGUACAGUAUGUUCUUGAAGCUUUCUUGAGGUGAGUAAGAAAAGCAAAAGGUAAUCUGCAGAUGAUGUAUAUCAGAAGAAAGUUGCAGUAGAAAGAGUUGUUGGAGAUUUCUUUAUUGUCUUGCUGGGGAGAGAAAUCAAAAAACGAAAAUUCAUGAGCCUAUGGCUCUGAUACCAUGAAAAUGCUCAAGCACAGAUUAGCAAGAAUGAAGAAUCUGUUUCUAUUCUUUCUUAUUUUACAGUAGACCAAUGGCUAUAUAUAAAUAUUACAGUGUAACUAAUCUAACCAUCUAAUCAUCUAUUGAACCACCUAACCAUCUUCUAACUAAUCAUAACAGCAUCUGUUAGAGAGGAGAAGAAUCAGUUGCUGGUGCGGGUGCUUGUCUAUCAGUUCCAAGUUACCUUAAACCUUGAAAGGAUCAAGUCCUUUUGAUUUUGUUUAAAUAAGCUACUAAGCUACUGCUCACUCCACAUUGGAAAUUCAAGGGGAUGAAAAAAGGUUUAUAAAUCUCAUUCAUCUCCAACAGGUCACAUGGCCUUUAGGCCGUGGGAGGCAAUGCGGUGAGUGGGUCGUGUGCUCUAAAUGGAGGCCUAUUUUUGCAACAAAAGAAAGACCGAAACCAAACCAAGCAUGAACCAAAUCGGAUCAAGAUCCAGUCGACGGUCUGACUAGUUCAGUAGGAAUUUUUCAUAAUAUGGUUUAAUGGCAUGUAGAUAUUCUUUAGUCAAAGUUUUAAUAAGCCCAUCAAAAGUUGUAAUAUUUUAUGUUAUAAGUUAAUAGAGAAUAUUUUUUACUUUAAAUUUUUGUUGGUAUUUUCCCAUAAUCUAUAGUUAUUAAGGCAUUGAUAUUUUCUCAAAUUAUAGAAUUAAGUUCUAAAACAACAUUUAUUUUGACAUAGAUGAACAUUUGAAAGAUUAUAAUUUAUCUUUAACUUAUUUUUCUUUAUAACCAAAAUCUUUUCUCUCGAUUUUUCAUAAUAUUUGAUUAUGAUUAAUUAUUCAUGCAUACAAUCUAGGUCUGAAUCUAUUAUCUUCAACACUUAUUUUUAUUUUUUUAUGUCAUGUUUGAAAAUUUACUUUAGAUAGUAAGUCAAUAAAUGUUUCUAAAGGUAAAUGAGUGUUUGGUAUUAUGAUUCUUAGAUCUUGACUAGUAAGGGAUUCUUUAUAAUUUGUUCAUUUUAUUACUUGAGCUAAUUUAAUUCUCUAUUUAUUAAUUUCUUAUAUUUCAUCAUGUAAAUUUUGAAUAGUUAUAAGUUUGUGAAUAGUUUUGAAUCUAUUAAAUAUUUCAUCUAUAAUAUUGAUUAGAUUUGGGUUCUUGAAGUCUACUUAUCUCUUUAAUUUGUAAGAAUUAAAUCUUUUAAAUAUAACAAAUAUUGAAUUUUUAUGUUGAAUCCUCUAUUUUAUGACAUCAAAAAAUAUUUAUUUAUUUACUUUUGAAUAAAUCAUAUUUAUUAUUUUAUAUGAACAAACAUACUCACUUUCACAUUCAUUUUCAUCAUUAGAGUCUUCUAGACUAAUUAUAUUGGUUUAAUGUGUCUAGUAUUUGUGAUAAAUUUCAUAAAAAUAUUCAAGUGUAAAUAUUAAACUACAUAGUAUACUGUCACAUAUGACACAUUUCAAAUAGUAAAGACUAAAACCAUAAUUAAAGAUAACUUAGGUUUUAUUUUUUUUGUCAAAAAUAUUAUAAUUUUAAUUAAUUGAAUUAUUAAUUUUUCAAAAAUUUAGAAAAAAUAAAAAAUAGUAUUUUAAAAUUUGGCUCUCUUGAAAAUCAUGAGAGGAUAAAAAUUGGUAAAAAAAUAAAUAAAUUUAGAAAAGGUUAUUGAGAUUAAUUAAGUACAUCCUUGCCAUGAUAUUUAAUAUUUUUUUUAUGUUUUAUAAAUAGGGUAAAUGGACAUCGUUCUAAAUACAGGAAGAUGAUAUUAUUAUAUAUAAAAAAAAUGUAAAAAUAGUGAGUAAUAUUAUUAAAAAUAUCUCAUGGAAUGGGGCAAGAUAAAGGGCCAAAAAAAAAAAAAUUAGAGAAGAAAGAAGAAAAAGAAGAGUGUUGUAAGCACAGGAAGUCAAAAGUACUGUAUAAGCGUGAUUCAUCCCUGUUUCCUACUUCGAUUAUAAAGUAUGGACAGAGAUACAGAAAAAAAAAAAGAGAAGAAGCAGCAUUCAGCUUUCACCAGUGCAGAGUGGUAUGGUGGUGUAGCAUAUGUUUGGUUGUUAUUCUUGCUCCAAACAAGUGUGAGCUGAUCCAUUUCUAUACUCAUUUUUGUUAUCUCAGUCGACUGAUUCGUUUAGUGGGCCUGGUGUUAGCCAAAAGCUAGCCACCAAUUUUCUUUGCUUUAUCCCAUUACAUUAGAAUAAAAAGAAAAUGGAGGUUUGAGAGGGCCAUUGGGACCAUUGGGACCAUUAUCAGUUGUCUUUUGUUUUCAAGUUGUAAGAAGUCCUGUCAAGGUUUAUGUCAUUUGCUAUGUUGUUUCUGUUCCAUUUUCAGUUCAAAGAGUGGUAGAGUAGAGAAGGAGGCAUGGCUCAGACAUUUGGGUGCAGCUCUGGAGAUAGUAGAUGGUCUCUCAAGGGAAUGACUGCUCUUGUAACUGGUGGAACUAAAGGAAUUGGGUUGGUGUUACCUGUUUUUAUGUCUUUGGGUUUGGACUAUACCUUCCUAUAUAUAAACGUAUGUAUCAAUUCUGCAGGCAUGCAAUUGUGGAGGAACUGGCUGGAUUAGGAGCAACCAUACACACGUGUUCUCGAAAAGAAACUGAGCUCAAUGAAUGCUUGAAGGAUUGGAAAGCUAAAGGUUUUGGAGUGAGUGGUUCAGUGUGUGAUGUAUCCUCUCGGGCACAAAGGGAGAAGCUAAUGGAGACUGUCUCUUCUGUGUUCAAAGGGAAGCUGAAUAUCCUUGUAAGUUCCUCUAGUCUCUAAGGUUCCUAUCCAUGAUAUUCCACAUACUUUGUCGAACUUCCUACAAUUUGAGUUCCCCUACUUGAUAUAUAUAUUUUGGUUCCGGAUUCAGGUCAACAACGCUGCUAUUGUUAUUCAGAAACCAACAGUAGAGGUCACGGCAGAAGAGUUCUCAACAAUCAUGGCCAUAAAUUUUGAAUCUGUGUAUCAUCUGUCCCAACUCGCACACCCCCUUUUAAAGGCAUCAGGAGCGGGAAGCAUUGUAUUCAUCUCCUCUGUUGCCGGCGUAGUGUCAGUCAAGUAUCUGUCUGCUUAUGCAGUAACCAAAGGUAUUUCAUUACAUGAUCCACAGUAUAUAUAUAUAUCGCAAGUUCUUGGGUUGUGGCCCUUGUGGCCUUCUCGGCGUGUCAUUAUCAUUAUCAUUUUGUGAUUUUUCAGGAGCAAUGAAUCAACUUACAAAGAAUUUGGCAUGCGAGUGGGCGGAAGACAAUAUUAGAAGUAAUGCAGUUGCUCCUUGGUGCAUCAAAACUCCGAUGGUGGAUCAGGUAAUUCAGUUGCUCUUCUUUUUUGUCUGGGAAAAUUCAAUAAUCAAUUCCUCUCUCUUUUCUGUCUUUUGCAUAAUCUGGGUUGCAGAUGCUCAGUAACAAAACCUUUCUGGAAGGGGUGAUAAAUCGAGCUCCACUUCGCCGUGUGGGAGAUCCGAAGGAGGUGUCAUCUUUGGUGGCAUUCCUCUGUCUACCAGCAUCAUCUUACAUUACUGGACAGACUAUUUGUGUUGAUGGUGGCGUGACUGUUAAUGGUUUUGAGCCAAACCUGUUCUAGGAACAUCAUUAAGACUCUAAAAAAUCUUAGCUUCUUCUACCGCUUUCCUGUUUGGAUCCUGUCUUUUUCCUGAAUAAUAUGUUUGUGGUGGUAAGUACUCUUCUGUUUUUUCGGUGUGGGGUUCAUUUGAAAACAUUGUUGCAUGAUGCUUAUAAUAAUCGUUGGAAAGUUGGAAGAAGUUACUUAUCAUUGGAUGAGAUUCUUGUGAUGGGUGUUUCCUAUAAUCAGAUUUAUCUUGUUAUAAGGUUGUUGUUGUUGUAGUAAUAGGAUUGAAAGAGAAAUGCAAAUAAUCGUAAAAGGAUGAUGAAAAUUCAUCAUUUUUACUUAUUCAAAUAUUACACCAUCUCUAAUUUACAAUGAAUUUCAAUGAGUGCAAGUGAAACCAACCUUAAAAUAAUUUUGUUUGAUAAAUUUAGAUGAAAUUCAACCAGUGUGAAUCUUUAAAUUUUUUUUUUCAUUUCCAUUAAAGAUUAUUGUAAAUGAAAAAAAAUUAAAGUCAAAAAUACAUGUAGCAAUGAGACGAAGGAAAGCGGGUUCUAUCAUCUAUCACACAUCAUGGAAAAAGCUGUGGUACCAUGGCUUUUCCAGGACUUUUCCUUGCAUAAUGUUACCGUAUGCUAAUGUUUUGUCACUCAAAGAUAUUUUAAUAUAAAGUAGCGCGGAUAUACUAUAAACAUUCAGUUACGCCAUGUAACACGUUAGCCAAUAAGGUUACAAAUUUUAAUUUUAUAUUAAUAAUAUGAUUGGGUAUGCUCUAUAUUUUAAAAUAUAAUUGAAUCACAUAUAUCUAGAACUAGAAAUCCUUUUGAGGGACCAAUAACAUAAACCAUUAAAAUUUUAUAAUUUGAUAUUAUAAAUUCCUAUUAAAUUUUAAAAUAUAUUAAAUUUAUUUGAUAUAAAUAUAUAUAAAAAUAAAGAAAAAAUUUAUAUUUUCAUAUGAUAAAUUAUACAAAAGAAAAGCAAAUAUUUUUUUUUUAUCAAAAUUGUUUUCAACAAUAUUUCAAAUAUAUAUAUAAAUUUGGGAAACUUGUAUUUUGGAGCUGCUAUUUAGAAAUUAUAUGGUUUUCGGAACCCAAAAAUGGGAAAUAUGAGAAUCAAUUUUUAAUAUGAAAGGUAUUAUCGUUUUUGUGCACUCUGAGUCGGCUCCAUCUUUUGUGCCCAAAUUGUCCCUCCAUGUUUCCAACACAUUAUCUUAGCAUCAUUCCAACCUCCAUGUCAGUACGACCAUUGAAAUUUAGAAAAAAAAACACUAAAAUCUAAAUUUGUAACUUCUCAAAAAAAAAAAAAAAAAAACAAAACAAAACCUAAUAUGCAAGUUUUCAAUUUGCUCAUUUGGAAGUUUUCUCUCAUCUUUCUUCAGUCCCAACAAUCCAAAAUUUCUCUCAUUUUAGUUCAAAAACUCAAAUCCAAAACUCCAAAUGUGAUACAUUGUGGAAUUGUUUUCAUAGUCCUUAACAAGAUACAUGCAGCAUGUAUUGAACUUUAACCUAAUUCCUUCUACCAAUUUUUCUGGCCCCAAGUUACUGGGGACUAUGGUUCCGAUUGGGUGGUUUUUGAGUAGUCAAAAACCAUUUUUAAAGCUUAGUAAAAAAAUUUAUGCCGCUCAUUUUAUUUAAACAAUUUAUAACUUAAAAAAUAAGAAAAAAAAAUGUUUUUUAAAGCUUUAUUUUGACUAAUUCAAAAAGCUUUUUUUUUUUUUUUUUUAUGUUUGAUACAUUUUUUAUAAUAUCAAUAUUAUUUUUUAAAAAUGGUGACUUUUAGCUUUUAAUUAAAACUAAGAACAAGAAGUUAUUCUAAAUAUGACUUAUGUAUUCAUUCAGUGAAAGUAAUUUUUUCAUUUAAAAAAAGUAAUUUCUUGGUGAUAAAAAGAAAUAUUUUUUUAGUAGCUUUUUGAUGCUAUAAAAAAAGUGUUGGCUAAGUUUGUAUGAUAAAAUUGGUGUUAUUUAUAUACCUGCACUUUCGCUAGGGUCUUAUUUAUUGGGAAACUUGUGUUUAAUAUGCUCAAUUCUAUUUCUUUGUAUGGCUAUGCAAUUGUUUGGAUUUGGCAACACUAAUCAAUAAAUGUACUUUAUAUUUGAAACAUUGGAAUAAAAAAAGAGAAUAAGAGUUAAUUUUAUUUUCAAUUUAUUAAUAUAUUUUAAUUAUUUUUUACAAUGAUGAUAGAAUUAAAAAGAAAAUCACUUAGUAACUCUUAGGUACUACCUUAAUAUACCUUAGUAACCUUAAUCUAUCUUAGGUAUUAUCUUAGUUACACUUGGGUACUACCUAUGUGAAGUCUCAAAACUUCAUUUGUGGACAUUACUUACUUCAUGUGUGAACAUUAGAGCAUGACAUUAUGCGCACCUUUAAUAAGUGUUACUAAGGUAGUACCUAAGGUACAGUCAACACUAUAUCAAAGGUGCACUUAAUGUCAUGCUCUAAUGUUCACAAAUGAAGUUUUGAGGCUUCACAUAGGUAGUACCCAAGUCUAAUUAAGAUAGUACUUAAGGUCGGUUAAGGUAGAUUAAGGUAAUACCUAAGAGUUACUAAGGUAAUACCUAAGGUACAAUCACCACUAUAUCAAAGGGGCACAUAAUGUCAUGCUCUAAUGUUCACAAAUAAAGUAAGUAAUGUCCAUAAAUAAAAUUUCGAGGCUUCACACAGGUAGUACCCAAGUUUAAUUAAGAUAGUACCUACAAUCAGUUAAAAUAGUACUUAAGAUAAAUUAAUGUAGUACCUAAAAGUUACUAAGGUAUAGUAAAUACUAAAGAACAAUAUAUAAAAAUUAAUUACCUUCGUAUUUCAAGUAGGGGUUAGGGAAAAAUGUGAUAGAAUGAUAGGAAGACGAGACAUUUUUUUAAGGAAACCAAUAUUUUGGAUUUCAGCUUUUCGUCCAAGUAUGCUUUGCUAUAGCAAAAUCAAUAUCAUAGUUAUAUUUUAACUGGAUGUUCUUAGGAUGGAGUGCUUCAUUUGGUUGUUGAGAAUUUAGACAAGAAAGAAAAAUGCAGGUUAGAGUUUUGGAUUAAGGGUUUCUUUUCUCAAAUUGAAGAAAUUUUGGGAAAUUUUAAAUGGGUUUUAGGAUUGUCUGUUAAGAAGGAAAGGUCAAUGAUAUCUGACCAUUCAUUAGGCAAAUAUAUUGUAUUAAUUGUAUAUUUAUUCAGUUACCUUUUAUACUUAGAAUAGAUUAGCAUGAUUGUAGGAAAUUAGCAUGAUUGUAGGAAAUCUCUUGUAUAAAGCUUCGUCUCCUGAUUCAAUAAAA